UACAGAGGUCCCAAGCGUUGUUCGGAUUCAUUGGGCGUAAAGGGUGCGUAGGCGGCGCGGUAAGUCGGGUGUGAAAUCUCGGAGCUUAACUCCGAAACUGCAUUCGAUACUGCCGUGCUUGAGGACUGGAGAGGAGACUGGAAUUUACGGUGUAGCGGUGAAAUGUGUAGAUAUCGUAAGGAAGACCAGUGGCGAAGGCGGGUCUCUGGACAGUUCCUGACGCUGAGGCACGAAGGCCAGGGGAGCAAACGGG
rnacentral:rRNA from 1 species